rnacentral:rRNA from 1 species
UACGGGGGGGGCAAGCGUUGUUCGGAAUUACUGGGCGUAAAGGGCCAGUAGGCGGCCAACUAAGUCCGACGUGAAAUCCCAAGGCUUAACCUUGGAACUGCGUCGGAUACUGGAUGGCUUGAAUUCGGGAGAGGGAUGCAGAAUUCCAGGUGUAGCGGUGAAAUGUGUAGAUAUCUGGAGGAAUACCGGUGGCGAAGGCGGUUCUCUGGGCAUUACCUGACGCUGAGGAGCGAAAGUGUGGGGAGCGAACAGG